rnacentral:rRNA from 1 species
UACAGAGGUCUCAAGCGUUGUUCGGAAUCACUGGGCGUAAAGGGUGCGUAGGCCGCACGGAAAGUCAGAGGUGAAAUCCCGGAGCUCAACUCCGGAAUUGCCUCCGAUACUCCCGUGCUUGAGGACUGGAGAGGAGUCUGGAAUUCACAGUGGAGCAGUGAAAUGCGUAGAUAUUGUGAGGAACACUAGUGGCGAAGGCGAGACUCUGGACAGUUCCUGACGCUGAGGCACGAAGGCCAGGGGAGCAAACGGG